rnacentral:rRNA from 1 species
GCGAUGGUGAGCCCAGAUUCCGCAACAUGGCUGGAAGCCAUGAAAUCUGAGAUGGGAUCCAUGUAUGAAAACAAAGUGUGGACUUUGGUUGACUUGCCCGAGGGUCGACAAGCAAUAGAGAACAAGUGGAUCUUCAAGAAGACUGACGCUGACGGUAAUGUUACUGUCUACAAAGCUCGACUUGUCGCAAAGGGGUUUCGACAAGUUCAAGGGAUUGACUACGAUGAGACUUUCUCACCCGUAGCGAUGCUUAAGUCUGUCCGAAUCAUGUUAGCAAUUGCCGCAUUUUAUGAUUAUGAAAUUUGGCAAAUGGAUGUAAAGACUGCAUUCCUGAAUGGGUUUCUGGAAGAAGAGUUGUAUAUGAUGCAACCAGAAGGUUUUAUCGAUCCAAAGGGAGCUAACAAAGUGUGCAAGCUCCAGCGAUCCAUUUAUGGACUGGUGCAAGCAUCUCGGAGUUGGAAUAAACGUUUUGAUAGUGUGAUCAAAGCAUUCGGGUUUAUACAGACUUUUGGAGAAGCCUGUAUUUACAAGAAAGUGAGUGGGAGCUCUGUAGCAUUUCUGAUAUUAUAUGUAGAUGACAUAUUACUGAUUGGAAAUGAUAUAGAAUUUCUGGAUAUCAUAAAGGGAUACUUGAAUAAGAUUUUUUCAAUGAAAGACCUCGGAGAAGCUGCUUACAUAUUGGGCAUAAAGAUCUAUAGAGAUAGAUCGAGACGCUUAAUUGGACUUUCACAAAGCACAUACCUUGACAAGAUUUUGAAGAAGUUCAAAAUGGAUCAAGCAAAGAAAGGG